AUGAGGCUCAGUGCGGGUCAGCGGGCCCCGGGUGGGGGCACCGCCCGCAUCUGCACUCACCUGGGAGGCUGGACGGUCCCGCCUGCUCUCUCCAUCACACCGGACCAUAUCAUAUCCCUCUGUGCGCGUCCUGGCCGCCCGGCCUCCGUGGCUGGCAGGCACCAACACCCCACUGGAGACGUGGCUGUGGGCAGAGAGAGAGAGGUGGGGGGCGCUGACUGGGUGGGCAGAGGUGGCCAAGGGCAUCAGGAGGGCAGCGGGCUGGACACUCACCUCCGUCUCCGUUCCGAGCUCAGAGGCACCGAUCCCGCUCCGUCAUCGCCCGCAGAGGCCCGCCUUGGCCACGAGCUCGAAGUCCAAUGCCCCUCCCACUGGCUCGGUGCCCGGCUCUGGCCCCUCGCCCCUGCCUGUGCCCUGGCCUCCCUUCCCCCGAGAGUGCACAUUCACGCCCCCCCACCCGCCCCACCUAGCCUGGUCUCGCCCGUGUCCUUGACUCCCCUGGGUGCUGUUCUAUCUCUCAUUCUCCGGCCCUCGAGGCUCUGGCUCAGGCCUGAGAACGCCUGGCCGGAGCCGCUCCUGUGACCUACUACUAAGUGAAUUACAGUGGGUGAAGUGGCGGCUGGGAACCCCUCUGUCCUGAGUCCCCACCCUGUCCUGCUCGCCCCGGGGCCUGAGUGCCCCCUACAUGUGCUGGCAGCCCUGCCUGCUAAGCUCCCGCCUGGCUCUCUGGAAAUGCCCUUGCCACCUGGGGCAGCCCGCGGCACCCCAUCCCGCGGCCCCCAGCCCGCCCUGUCUCAGCUCCCCUGAGACGAUAUCACCUGUGCUGCCUGACCAGCCUGCGUCCUGCUCUGCCGGGAGGCCAGCCUCUCCACCUCGCUGGCCCGCGCUCCCCAGAACCUCCUUCUGCAGGAGACCAGGAGAGCAAGGACCAGCGAGGAGAAGGGGACUCACCUGGCCGGCAGAGCGCUGUCUUCACCUGCCCACGGCUGCCAGCUACGCCUCCGCUGCCCCAGCCCCAGGGCGAGCCUCUGUCAAGACCCCUGUCCACCAGUCGCCACGAUCUGAAACCAAAAUUGACCGGGAUGAAUGCCUGGCUCCCCCCUCUUCUUCUCCGCGCUGCUAGCUUGGGUCUUUCACCCUCCCACGCAGAUGUUACCCGGCCUGCGGGGCGCCCGGGAGCAAAAAAUGAUCCCCAAAAGGCUCCCGGGCGCCCCGCGGCCCUCCCCAAGCCAGCCCCUCUGUGAGUCCGCUCCUGCCAGGCUCCAGAUGUCCAAGGUGAUCCUUGGCCCACCCCACGCAAACUUCCCUGCACCCCACUUCCCCGUCUUCCCCCGGUUACCCCUCCGCGUCCCCGUUUCCCCAGUUCCCCCCGUUUCCCCAGUUCCCCCAGUUUCCCCCGUGCCCCCCCAUCCCUCCCACCACCCCCCUCCCACACCCUGCUCUUCGGGCCCUAGCCCGGGCUUUUUCUAACUGGAGGCGGCCCCGCCCAGCAUUCCCGCCCCUGCCCGGCCAGCCAAUCGGCACGGGGACCGUGUUGGGGCCCCCGCGAGGCCCGCCCCGACCCGGGACGGUCCAGCGCACG
ensembl:lncRNA